rnacentral:rRNA from 1 species
UACGUAGGGAGCAAGCGUUGUCCGGAAUCAUUGGGCGUAAAGAGCUCGUAGGCGGUUUGUCGCGUCUGCUGUGAAAACCCGAGGCUCAACCUCGGGCCUGCAGUGGGUACGGGCAGACUAGAGUGCGGUAGGGGAGAUUGGAAUUCCUGGUGUAGCGGUGGAAUGCGCAGAUAUCAGGAGGAACACCAAUGGCGAAGGCAGAUCUCUGGGCCGUAACUGACGCUGAGGAGCGAAAGCAUGGGGAGCGAACAGG